rnacentral:rRNA from 1 species
GACGAACGCUGGCGGCGUGCUUAACACAUGCAAGUCGAACGAUGAAGCCGCUUCGGUGGUGGAUUAGUGGCGAACGGGUGAGUAACACGUGGGCAAUCUGCCCUGCACUCUGGGACAAGCCCUGGAAACGGGGUCUAAUACCGGAUACGACCAUCAGCCGCAUGGCCUGGUGGUGGAAAGCUCUGGUGGUGCAGGAUGAGCCCGCGGCCUAUCAGCUUGUUGGUGGGGUGAUGGCCUACCAAGGCGACGACGGGUAGCCGGCCUGAGAGGGCGACCGGCCACACUGGGACUGAGACACGGCCCAGACUCCUACGGGAGGCAGCAGUGGGGAAUAUUGCACAAUGGGCGCAAGCCUGAUGCAGCGACGCCGCGUGAGGGAUGACGGCCUUCGGGUUGUAAACCUCUUUUCUGAGGGACGAGUAAGGACGGUACCUCAGGAAUAAGUCUCGGCUAACUACGUGCCAGCAGCCGCGGUAA